UUUCAAAUCUUGCGCUUGACUUUGCGGUAGACGAUUUGUUUUGUUUAUCUUUUUGCAGUGCGAGAAGCAGCUCGGUGUGCAGGAGAACUUCAGCUUUACAGUAAUUUUCAGCUGUUUUGUAAAGGUUCAGUGUCCUGGUUGAUUCAGUAACCGUACCUCCGCCCAAAUGGAUGAGAGUGAAACCCAAAAUACUGAGGAAGAAACCAGCAAUGUCAACGAACGAAUCAUUGCAUUCGUAAAGGAACAUAAGGUUCUCUACGAUAAAACUAUGCGAGCAUACAAAAAUAAUAACAACAGAAACAAGCUUUGAGUGCAGCUUGCAUCAGAACUCGGAAUGGAUGUUUAAGACAUUGCUCGCAUAAACCUUGAAAACGGCAUAAAAGCCGUUGGUUAUUCCUGAACACAUGAAUGUAAACACCUUUGAGAGAAAGAGCAAACCGUUCUAGGGCUUUAGUAUUUACGUACUUAGAAACAACGAGCAACCAACUUGGCUACCAAUGACUUAUUGGACGAGAUCAUACAUUGUGCGAGAUAGUCUCUUGAGCUAUGCUGAAAGAAAUGAGCGAAUUAGAAGCAAAGGGGUGUAAGUGACAACCCCUUCCGACGUUCAAAGUUUUUCGUAAAUUUUUCACUCCAUACAAAAUAUAUGGGACUUCAUUUUAAACCCAAUUUUCUCCGAUUUAUUGUAAUUUUUCUUUUCGACGUAAACAUAAAAUAAAAAGAUC